GUAUAAGAGACAGCAGUCGCCGCGGGAAUACGGAGGGUGCAAGCGUUAAUCGGAAUUACUGGGCGUAAAGCGCACGCAGGCGGUCUGACAAGUCAGAUGUGAAAUCCCCGGGCUUAACCUGGGAACUGCAUUUGAAACUGUCAGGCUGGAGUCUUGUAGAGGGGGGUAGAAUUCCAGGUGUAGCGGUGAAAUGCGUAGAGAUCUGGAGGAAUACCGGUGGCGAAGGCGGCCCCCUGGACAAAGACUGACGCUCAGGUGCGAAAGCGUGGGGAGCAAACAGGAUUAGAUACCCGUGUAGUCCCUGUCUCUUAUAC
rnacentral:rRNA from 1 species